rnacentral:rRNA from 1 species
AGCUAACGCAUUAAAUGAUCCGCCUGAGUAGUAUGCUCGCAAGAGUGAAACUUAAAGGAAUUGACGGGGACCCGCACAAGCGGUGGAGCAUGUGGUUUAAUUUGAAGAUACGCGGAGAACCUUACCCACUCUUGACAUCCUUCGCAAUGCUAUAGAGAUAUAGCGGAGGUUAACGGAGUGACAGAUGGUGCAUGGUUGUCGUCAGCUCGUGUCGUGAGAUGUUUGGUCAAGUCCUGCAACGAGCGCAACCCCUAUCUUUAGUUACUAACGAGUCAUGUCGAGGAUCCUAGAGAUAC